UCACAGAGAGUAGGAAAGUUCCCCCGGCGCGGAGGGGGAGGCUGCUGCGGCGGCAGCGGCUGCAAAGAGCAGAAGCCGGAGCGGGAGGAGGAGAAGAAGGAAGUGGCUACGGAGCGCUCGGCCAAUGAGUGUCUGGAGCUGUGAUUAACCAGGCAGCAACACAUCAUUUCCUCCCGGCGCAGAUCCAGGGAGCCGGGAGGGAGAAGGAAGGCGGCGGGGCGGGGCCGCCCCGCGCCCCCUGCAGGCGCCCGGCCAGGGGCAAACCCGCCGAGCCCUGCCGAGCCUGACCUCGCCGCCCCCGGCGCGCCCCGCGCAGUCUCGCCGGCCUGGAGGAGGCUGCGAGCGCGCCGCCCGCGGGGCUUUUCGGAGGCGGGGAGGCGGCCGGGCAUGCCCGAGCUGGGCUCCCGUGGCCGGGGUGGGAGGAGGAGAGGCGGCACGGCGCGGCGCGGGUGAGUGCCCAGGUUCAUUUAUGCAGCAGACAUUUGUUGGGUGACUGCCUGCAGUACUGCAAAGGCUUGCAAAGGAAAUGGAAGAUGUGGGCCCUGCAGGUCAGGAGUUUACAAUCGAAUUAGGAACACAGAGGAUAUAUACAUGAAACAACUAGAAAAUAAUCUCCAAGUAUUACAGGAGCAAGAAUAUGGAGAAGACUGGGGACAUUUUUUUUUUUUCAAAAGGGGAAGGGCUUUGUUCCUAUGUGAUUGGUAGGGAGAGGAAAUUCCAGGUCAGAACAAACAAGAGUGCUUAGAUAUAGCCUUGCUCUUUAGAGAAAUAUAACAGAGACCUCAUUGGUACUUGGCCAGUUACAAACUGUAUGACCUUGGGCCCAUUUUUAACCUCUCUAAGAACAGGGAAUAGAGCCUAUCUUGUGAGGUUUGUUGUACUGUUCACAUGAGAUUACACACAUGUGGAAGCUCUUCAAGCUGCUGUGUUAAUGUUUCUCAGUCUUGUACAUUUACAGAGUCUUCAUUUUACUGCCCUCUUGUUGAUAACCUUCUCUAUAGUAUCCUCUAGUCUGGAAGCCCCAUGAGGGCAGGGACCAGGUUUGGUUGUGUUCACCAUGGAAAAUCAUGCCUAGCAGAGGGGCACAUGUGGGUGCUCAAUAAAGGUUUGCUGAAUAAGUGAAUAAAUGAACUAGUGAAUUCUGUUAUGGUUUUAUCUGUUCCUUCAGCAGUGGUUUCUUCUUAUUGUGUGGCUGGCUCAAUGCAAAAAAUCCUCUAACCCUAACCCUCCUGUGACUAACUUGUAUUACAGGAGUCUAUCUGGAAGGAUUCUCAGUAGUUCUUGUGGCAUUAUAACAUAAAUUGAUUGAUUGAUUGAGUCAUUGAAAGACACAAGCCUCAUCCACACAAGGAUACUGUCCUUUGGCUUGGACACCUUAAUCCAAAGUUUCUCAACCUUGGUACUGUUGACAUAUUUGGUUGAAUAGUUGGGAGGUGUUGUCUGGUGCACUGUAAGAUAUUUUACAUCAUCUUUGACCUCUAUCCAUCAGAUGCAAACAGGAUACCUUCCCUCCAUAGUUGUAACAACAAAAAAUGUCUCUAGACAUUGCCAGAUGUCUCCUGGGGGCAAAAUAGCUCCAUGCUAGGAUCCACUGCCUUACCCCAACAUCUAACCCAUUGAUUUAACUCUGGUGAAAAACACACCACUAAAGUAACUUGGAAGAAAUACAUCUUCUGUUAUUCUAAGAUUCUCAGAUCUCCUCCAUCAUAUGUUUCAAGGAGCAGGAUUCUUGUUAAUUAAUUGCCUGCUGCAUUGUGAAUUGGCAUCUCUUCUGUUUUCUGCAUAUCCUCCUCCUUUACGCCCAGAUCAACAUGUUCAUUUCUAAAAGUCAACAGCUUUCAAAAACUAUUAGGAAACAGGGUCUUGAGCAACCUAAAAGUCCCGUACAAUAUUUUCCUAUAAAAUUUGGAGAAUUUAUUUUAUAAAAUUUUGCAGAAAGCUUUGUUGUUAUGAUUAAGCUAUUAGACUUACAGGAAAUAACUGUGGCUUCUCUGCACACAGAUGUGAUACAGAAUAUAAAUUGUAAAUUUUUUAAUGAUUUUAUUUAAAAUGUUUAAGUAUGCAACUACAUUGAGUGAUUUUCUUUCAUUUUGAAGCCAUUUCUUUUUGGUUCUAGAGAGUUUUAUAAUGGCAUAAGAGAACACGGUUUAUUAAAACCUAUAAAGAAGAAAUCAGCUUAGUUAUACAUACCAACUUCCAGCAGCAGUUUGAUAUGGUGUAUGAGAGCUGUUGUUGAUGAGAAUCCUGGUUGAUUAAUGUACUGCUGUUCAAAUUCUACAGGUUUCUUGAAGAAAAAUAAAGAUUAAUGGUUGACGGAAAGAACAUUUUCUGAUAAGUCUGUUCCUCAGUAUGGGCAUGUAAAACCCAAAAAACCCUGCUCCUGGCAGGAAGUAGUGCCGUGUUUCUGAUGUGAGCAGACAUUUUUGUUCAGCAAAACAAUAUCAUCUGCCUCAUUAAAUAAAGUUAUUUGAAGCAUUGGUUUUA